ensembl:lncRNA LINC03016 long intergenic non-protein coding RNA 3016
AUGGUUUGUCAGCUAUAGAAGAGAAAGGAGGGCGAAACCUGUGGUUAAGGCUUGCCUGAAGGAUCUCACAUUUGGGUUGGGGGCUGACAUGCCAGUGAACAAAUAGCCUCCUCAGGACUAUGAUAGAGCUAGAAUCAGCCAGAAACAUAUAAGGAGACUCCACCAGGAGUGGGGAGUUCUUGGGAAAGCUUUUGCUUCUGAAAAAAGAUAAAAGUACACAGGAGAGCUGUCUGGUGCCAUUCCUUGAGCAUGUGAGAGACUGUGUCACCGGGAGCAGCAGUUAUCUGUGGCCAUAAGUUGAGAUGACUGGAUGAAAUGCUAACAUGUUGAGAAGACAAUGCAUAGGAGUGAAUGAGACAGAAAGCAAGACCAUGAGGAUGACUAAGAAGAGCAAGUACAACAUGGCUGAGACUAAGUGUCCAGGGAGUUGAGAAUAAGUGGCCUAUUGUCAUGUCCUAUAUAAGUAGAGUAUAUGGAUGGGAGGCCAAGAAUACACCAACAAAUAAAAUAUUGAAUAUAUCGGUCAAGGGCAUAUCGAGAUGAUCAGGAUGCUGCCUAUUGGAAUGUUUAUCCUCCCACCCUACCCCAGAAGAGGAGCUUCUCGUCUUGUUCACCGCUGUUUCCCAGCUCCUGGAAGAGCCUGGCACAUAAAAGGUGCACAAUGAACAUUCAUUAAAAUCAAUGAUUAAUUGAACUGGCUAGUAUUCCAUCUCACUUUCAUUACUGGAGAACUGAAGAGCCAGCUAGCCUACAAAAACUCAUUCUGGAUGUAGAAGCAAUAAGAAAACAUGCAUUCAAAUAAAAGCAGAGAAUCCUUCUAA